AACUCAUCGCGAAAGAGAGAGAGAGGCGGAGAGGCAAAUCUAAUCGAGAGGUGGCGAGCGAGGCUGGGGUUUCUCCGGCGAUUCUCUCCUUUUGUGUGGCGCAGGUCCUCUAGAUCCGAGGCGGAGGGGAAAAAAACUAGGGUUUCGGAGCUCCCUUUAAAACCCUCGCAGAAAUCGCUGCCCAAAGAUUCUUUUGAGGAAAAUCGCUGCCCAAAGAUUCAAAUCCGAAGAUCUUCCAGUAGAAGAAGAGAAGCAGCACCGGCGGUGGCGGCGGCGGCCCUUCCCCCGUCCUCUCUCUCCCUCGCUUUCCUCUUUCGUCUUGCUCGUUUUACCUAUGGGUCGAUGUCCAUCCGUCUACCUUCUUAUCGAUCUACGGAAAGGAAGAGAAAGACUUGCCAUUUUGUUAUCUUUCAGCUUUACAAAUUUCUAAAGGAUGAUCCAG